CAGCGAGAGGGAGCCAUUGGAAAAGCAAGAUCGUGACACAGGACUUGAAUUCUUGUAGCUUUCUGUGAGUUUGGCCUUCCCAAGUGCAAUGAAUUUCUUUAACCAGCCAGAGUACAUUGGCAUUUCCAUCGAGUCCCUCAUAUGAAACUUACACGAAAAUAGAAAAGAAUAUGAAGUAUAGUCCAUCUCUCUCUCUCUCUCUCUCUCGCUCGAUCAAGGAAGUAGCCAGUUCAACUGUUACCAGGAGUUAUUACUGAUUUUGUGGUACAUCUACUGUAUUUGGUGUCCUCUUAGUCUGCUACUGCAGAUAUACAUGUGUAUACUCCCUUUGUUGUUUGUUGUACUAUAAUUUUAUUGAAGUUCCAUUCUUUUAAACAUGAAA